rnacentral:lncRNA from 1 species
UUCCAGGACAGCCAAGGCUACACAGAGAAACCCUGUCUCGAAAACCCAAAAAAAAAAAAAAAAAAAAAGAAAGAUCUGGUGCCCUCUUUUGGUCUCUAGGGAUACAGGCAGGCAGACUGCUGUGUACUAAAUAAAUAAAUAAAUAAAUAAGAAGAACAAUAAUCUAAUUUGUGUGUGUGUGCAGUAGAUGAGUCCAAGGCCAGUCCUGCCACUGGUGUCAGCUGGGGAGUAGACAGUUCCAAGACCUCCUUCCUGAGAGCACGAGAGUGCCUUGAGAAAAAACAUUCUCGGGUCACCCAGGAGAAGUCCAUGGCCUGCUCGUGAGGCCAGGGGCAGCACUGUUUUUGCCCUUACCUUCCUGCUCUGAGAAGGGAGUCCAGAUGGCGUAGGUAGGCUUGGAGUUUUCAAAACCUACUUUAAUAAGGUUUCUUAAAGGCUUCAACCUCCCUUCUAGCCCACCUACUAAAGGUAGGGAAAAAGAAGGUUAACAGGAAACGGGGAUUGUAGACCUGCUUAAAAGUAGUUCUUUGGGGCGAUCCAAUCCAAAACACUAAUAAAUAUGAGUCCAUAACAGCAGUCCAGUCUAAUUGGCACAUACCAAACACAAAUUGGUAGUAGCAGCUCUAUCCAGAAGAAACCGCAAGGCUCUGCUCUAUGGCACGAGUCUGUGGAAGCACCAAGAAGCAGCUGGAGUACCCCGAGAAGUUCUUUGGCGUGUUUAUCUCUACAAAGUCACGGCAAGCAAAGAUCAGCAAAGAGAUGCAAGGCAAAGCAAGAGCAGCACCAGCCAAGAUCAGUGAAGCAUUGCAAGGCAAACCAGUGCAAGAGCUCCGUUCACUGCCUGUCAGUUACACUUCAGUUCUUUCUACAUCACGUGUCCUCUCACGUGUGCCGCAGGAAAACAUCCUCUCAUAAGACAGCUUCCAGAAAAACAUCACAUAACACAACUGAAUCUCCAAAGAAACCAGAAAUUCCACUUCAAGAUGGAGCUAUGCUUUGAUGGCCCUAAGGGCCUUAGAGCCAUGACCAUUAGUUGGAAUGAUGUUGUUUUUCAAGUAAAGCAUAUAGCUUAUCAGCUGGGGGUGGGCUAUGGCUGACAUCUGAUCAGCAGAGGCUAGUGGCUUCAGACAUUCAUAGGAUAUAACUCCUUUCUACCUGGCUCAGGAUGGAUCCCUGUGUAGAGGGGUAAAAGCCAAAGUCUGGGUCCCACAUGAUUGGACAUCCUCUUUUACAUCAUACCGUCCCCCUAGAGCUCUGGGGAUUGGGCCCACACCUCUCUCACACAGCAGCUGGGUUUUCUUGGCACAUGGCACUGUGUACAACCUCGUAGUUAGACCUGGGUUGAAGUGAGGAGCGCUGUCGCUCUGGUAGGAAAGUGUUGUCUCCCUGAUCUUGAAUGCAGUUGGUUUGAAUACACUGUUGCAGUAUGUGGUCAGAGAGGGACAGGGCUGCUCAGAGAAAAUUCGAGCCUGUGAGUUGGAGCCUAUGGAGGCCCAAGAGAUAAUAUCAUGAAGAAGUAAGGCUCAUGUUACAGAGAACUGGGUUUACAGCAUUUCAAUUUUGGUAUAAAAGACAAACUCAGUAGGAAAUGUAGAAAGUGUCAGAAGUGAGAACAGACUUUGAAGUAAGGCCAGUGGGGGUGACUUAAAUGAAGAUAUGGCAGAUGACUGAGAUGAUAGAGGUAGUUUAAGAAGACUUUGGUGUUCUGAAAGGCUGGGCGGAUGAGAACUGUAGCUCACAGGGAGGAAAGGAUGGGGUGUAUAGAUGGUGGGAGGACGCACGAAAGCUGAUACCUGGAUGGUUGCUUGGUGUCUUGGGAGGGGAGGUGUAAGGUGGUUGGGCUUCAGAGACCUAAGAAUCUGGAACAAACAUAGAAUAUAUAAAAGGGGAUCUACCCCAAAUAUGUUAGUAUACAGGCUCAAAGACUGGCGCACUGAGUGCUGAGGGCAGAGGGAGGGCCUGUCUUCACAGCUGUGCAAGGCUGGCAGCCUUUGAGCAGGAAGCAAGGGAGCAGGAAGAGGGAUACAAAGUCCAGAUAUUGAGGAAGUCCACUCUAGGAGUGACUCUGGGAAAAAUGUCUUAUUCAAAAAAAC